rnacentral:lncRNA from 1 species
AGUGGAGGCAACUGUUUUUUGUGUGUGAAUAUUCUUGUUUUGUUUUGUUUUGUUUUGUUUUGUUUUGUUUUGUUUUGAGACAGAGUCACUGUGUCACCCAGGCUGGAGUGCAGUGGUGCAAUCUCGGCUCACUGCAAACUCUGCCUCCUGGUUUCAAGGGAUUCUCCUGCCUCAGCCUCCGAGUAGCUGGGAUUACAGGCGCCUGCCACCAUAUCUGGCUAAUUUUUGUGUUUUUAGUAGAGAUGGGGUUUCACCAUCUUGGCCAGGCUGGUCUCGAACUCCUGACCUCUGGUGAUUUGCCCGCCUCAGCCUCCCAAAGUGCCAGGAUUACAGGUGUGAGCCACCAUGCCUGGCCUGGAGGCAACUCUUGAGGUUGGGAUGUCUGCAGUUCAGACUGAAGGCUCCUAAUCCUGCUUGGAACUCCCAGCAACCUGCCUCACGUUCAUCCCAUAGGAAAACCUACAGGAUAAGCCAGCAGCUGCUCCACGUGCUGACUGCACACCUUCCUGCUCUUCCCCGACUCCUCUCGUCUCCCGAUGACAAGAUCAGCCACCGCCUGCUCUAGAUGACCCUUCUGAUUCAGUCCUGCUGUUUGCAGCCUCCCCACUUUAGCGGCUUCAGCACUUCUCUAACCAUGUUUCAGGGGCUUUUGAGAGGACAUGAUUGAACCUUUAGCCACCCAUUACCAGGCCAUAAGGAGCCCCAACUGGACCCGACUGAGAUGCAGCACAUCACCCAUCGCCCUGGAGUGGGAGCUGGAAGUGGAAGCCGGUUGAGACCUCAGGUUAGAUCCCUCUUGGGAAGGGGUUAGUUCGUUUCACGAAUGUACAAGAAUUUUUAUUUCUUGAAGCAGAGUUUCUGUCACCAGGCUAGAGUGCAGCGGCGUCAUCACAGCUCACUGCGGCCUGGACCUCCCAAGCUCAAGCGAUUCUCCACCUCAGCCUCCUGAGAAGCUGGGACUACAGGAGCACACCACCAUGCCUAGCUAAUUUUGUAGUUUUUAUAGAGAUGGGGUCUCGCUGUGCUGCCCAGGCUGAUCUCAGACUCCUGGCAUCAAGUGAUCCUUCCGCCUUCACUUCCCAAAGUGCUGGGAUUACAGGCAUCAGCCACUGCACCGCGACCCGCAUGUUUGCAUAAUUUGAUCUCACUCCUGACUCCAGCCAAGUACUGGGGCAAUGAUGAGUGAGUGUGUUACCCAAGACAGACCCAUCAGAAUCUAGCCCUGGAAACUUGAAACUGAG